CUUGAACUGGAGAGUUUGAUCCUGGCUCAGAUUGAACGCUGGCGGUAGGCCUAACACAUGCAAGUCGAACGGUAACG
rnacentral:rRNA from 1 species